UACGGAGGGAGCUAGCGUUGUUCGGAAUUACUGGGCGUAAAGCGCGCGUAGGCGGCUUUGUAAGUUAGAGGUGAAAGCCCGGGGCUCAACCCCGGAACUGCCUUUAAGACUGCAUCGCUUGAAUCCGGGAGAUGUGAGUGGAAUUCCGAGUGUAGAGGUGAAAUUCGUAGAUAUUCGGAAGAACACCAGUGGCGAAGGCGGCUCACUGGACCGGCAUUGACGCUGAUGUGCGAAAGCGUGGGGAGCAAACAGG
rnacentral:rRNA from 1 species